UAAUUUUCAAUCAGCGUCUGAAAAAACGUAAUAAUUACAACUUUCAACAACGGAUCUCUUGGUUCUGGCAUCGAUGAAGAACGCAGCGAAAUGCGAUAAGUAGUGUGAAUUGCAGAAUUCAGUGAAUCAUCGAAUCUUUGAACGCACAUUGCGCCCCUUGGUAUUCCAUGGGGCAUGCCUGUUCGAGCGUCAUUU
rnacentral:rRNA from 1 species